rnacentral:ncRNA from 1 species
UCAAACAAUGGGCAAACUCGCCGAAAGGCGGGGACGCAAAGCUUCCGGUCUACAGGAAUCAUUCCCAGGACAGCGGGGUUGCCGCG